rnacentral:rRNA from 1 species
AUUGAACGCUGGUGGCAUGCUUAACACAUGCAAGUCGAACGGUAACAGUAGGAGCUUGCUUCUAGCUGACGAGUGGCGGACGGGUGAGUAACGCGUAGGAAUCUGCCCAUCUGUGGGGGAUACCAGUUGGAAACGACUGUUAAUACCGCAUAAUAUCUGCGGAUUAAAGGUGGCCUUUGUGCUGCCGCAGAUGGAUGAGCCUGCGUUAGAUUAGCUUGUUGGUGGGGUAAAGGCCUACCAAGGCUACGAUCUAUAGCUGAUUUGAGAGGAUGAUCAGCCACAUUGGGACUGAGACACGGCCCAAACUCCUACGGGAGGCAGCAGUGGGGAAUAUUGGACAAUGGGGGAAACCCUGAUCCAGCAAUGCCAUGUGUGUGAAGAAGGCUCUAGGGUUGUAAAGCACUUUAGUUGGGGAGGAAAGCUUAUGAGUUAAUAGCUUGUAGGAAGGACGUUACCCAAAGAAUAAGGACCGGCUAACUCCG